GAUGAACGCUAGCGGCAGGCUUAAUACAUGCAAGUCGAGGGACAGCACAGGUAGCAAUACUGGGUGGUAACCGGCAAACGGGUGCGGAACACGUACACAACCUUCCUUUAAGUGGGGGAUAGCCCAGAGAAAUUUGGAUUAAUACCCCGUAAUAUAGUUGAAUGGCAUCAUUUGAUUAUUAUAGCUACGGCGCUUAAUGAUGGGUGUGCGGCUGAUUAGAUAGUUGGCGGGGUAACGGCCCACCAAGUCUACGAUCAGUAGCUGAUGUGAGGGCAUGAUCAGCCACACGGGCCCUGAGACACGGGCCCGACUCCUACUGGAGGCAGCAGUAAGGAAGAUUGGUCAAUGGACGCAAGUCUGAACCAGCCAUGCCGCGUGGAGGAUUAAGGUCCUCUGGAUUGUAAACUUCUUUUAUUUGGGACGAAAAAGGGCCUUUCUAGGUCAACUGACGGUACCAGAUGAAUAAGCACCGGCUAACUCCGUGCCAGCAGCCGCGGUAAAAC
rnacentral:rRNA from 1 species